rnacentral:miRNA from 1 species
GUCACUUCGCUUAAGUUUA